rnacentral:rRNA from 1 species
UCAGACGUGAUUACCUGCUGAACUUAAGCAUAUCAGUAAGCGGAGGAAAAGAAACUAACAAG